AACGAACGCUGGCGGCAUGCCUAGCACAUGCAAGUCGAACGAGACCUUCGGGUCUAGUGGCGCACGGGUGCGUAACGCGUGGGAACCUGCCCUUAGGUUCGGAAUAGCUCCCCGAAAGGGGUGCUAAUACCUGAUAAUGUCUUCGGACCAAAGAUUUAUCGCCUUUGGAUGGGCCCGCGUUGGAUUAGCUAGUUGGUAGGGUAAAAGCCUACCAAGGCGACGAUCCAUAGCUGGUCUGAGAGGAUGAUCAGCCACACUGGGACUGAGACACGGCCCAGACUCCUACGGGAGGCAGCAGUGGGGAAUAUUGGACAAUGGGCGAAAGCCUGAUCCAGCAAUGCCGCGUGAGUGAUGAAGGCCUUAGGGUUGUAAAGCUCUUUUACCCGGGAUGAUAAUGACAGUACCGGGAGAAUAAGCUCCGGCUAACUCCGUG
rnacentral:rRNA from 1 species